rnacentral:lncRNA from 1 species
GGAAAAUUGAUAAAACCAGUCUGGUUCUUUGAAAUAAUCAAUAAAAUUGGUAAACCUAUAGCCAGAUUAAGAAAGCAGAGACAAAUUACCAAUUUUAGCAUACCAGCAAUGAGGAAUGCUCAUUUGAAAUUUAAAAACACAGUACCACUUACAUUAGCGCGCGCACGCGCGCGCACACACACACACACACACACACACACACAAAAUGGAAGAUGUAGGUAUAAACCUAGUAAAAUAUACACAAGACCUAUGAGGAAAGCCAUAAAACUGUGAUGGAAAAAAAUUCUAAUAAAUGAAGAGAGAUCAUGUUCAUGGACAGGAAGAAUCAAUAUUCUAAAAAUGUCAGUUCUUCCAAUUUGAUGUGUAGAUUCAAUGUAACCUCUAUUAAAAGUCCCAACAAGUUAUUUUAUGGAUAUUAACAAGCUAAAUUUUAUAGGGAAAGAGAAGGGUAUGGCUAAUGCAGUAUUCAAGAGGAAUAAAGUAAAAACACUGAUACUACUGACCUCAAGACUUACUAGAAAGCUAUAGUAACCAAGAUGGUGUGAUGUUGGCAUAAAAACAGAAGAGGAACUGAGGAUAUAGCACUUGCUUAGUAUGUGUGUCACCCCAAAUUUGAUCUCUCACACUGCAAAACAAAAGAACAAAAAACAAACAAACAACAACAAUAACAAAAAAAACAAACAAAAAAAAAAAAACAACCCAGACCAAUUGAUCAAUGGAACAGAAAGCCCAGACAUGGAUUCACACAAAUAUAAUCAAUUAAUUUUUGAAAAAGGAAUAAGUGAAAUUCAAUGAAGAAGUUUGUUUCAAUAAAUGUGUCUGGCACAACUGUUCAUAUGCAUGCAAAAAAAAGAGGAGGAGGCAAAGAAGAGGAAGAAUCUAGACACAGACCGUACAUUUUUCGUAAAAAUUAAAGCUGGGGCUGGAGUUUGUAGCUCAGUGAUAGUGUGCUUGUCUACCAUGACACUGGAUUCAAUCCUCAACACCACAUAAAAAUAAAUAAAUAAAAUAAAGGAUUAAAAAAGAUUAUUUAAAAAAGUCACAGACUGAAAGAAAGUCUUUAGUGAUCACAUUUCCAUAAAGAGCUGCUAUCUACAAUAUACAGCGAACCCUUAAAAUUUAGAAAACAGUCAAAUCUUA